rnacentral:rRNA from 1 species
GAUCAUGGCUCAGGAUGAACGCUAGCGGCAGGCUUAAUACAUGCAAGUCGAGGGGCAGCAUGGUGUAGCAAUACACUGAUGGCGACCGGCAAACGGGUGCGGAACACGUACAGAACCUUCCUUCGAGCGGGGAAUAGCCCAGAGAAAUUUGGAUUAAUACCCCAUAGUAUAUUGGAGUGGCAUCACUUUAGUAUUAAAGAUUUAUCACUUGAAGAUGGCUGUGCGGCUGAUUAGGUAGUUGGCGGGGUAACGGCCCACCAAGCCUGCGAUCAGUAACUGGUGUGAGAGCACGACCAGUCACACGGGCACUGAGACACGGGCCCGACUCCUACGGGAGGCAGCAGUAAGGAAUAUUGGUCAAUGGACGAAAGUCUGAACCAGCCAUGCCGCGUGGAGGAUGAAGGUCCUCUGGAUUGUAAACUUCUUUUAUAUGGGACGAAAAAAGGGCUUUCUAGCUCGUCUGACGGUACCAUAUGAAUAAGCACCGGCUAACUCCGUG